UACAGGGGGGCAAGCGUUGUUCGGAAUUACUGGGCGUAAAGGGCUCGUAGGCGGCCAACUAAGUCGGAUGUGAAAUCCCCAGGCUUAACCUGGGAAUUGCAUCCGAUACUGGAUGGCUUGAAUCCGGGAGAGGGAUGCGGAAUUCCAGGUGUAGCGGUGAAAUGCGUAGAUAUCUGGAGGAACACCGGUGGCGAAGGCGGCAUCCUGGACCGGCAUUGACGCUGAGGAGCGAAAGCCAGGGGAGCAAACGGG
rnacentral:rRNA from 1 species